rnacentral:rRNA from 1 species
UUGAACGCUGGCGGCAGGCCUAACACAUGCAAGUCGAACGAUAACAGGAAACAGCUUGCUGUUUCGCUGACGAGUGGCGGACGGGUGAGUAAUGUCUGGGAAACUGCCUGAUGGAGGGGGAUAACUACUGGAAACGGUAGCUAAUACCGCAUAACGUCGCAAGACCAAAGAGGGGGACCUUCGGGCCUCUUGCCAUCGGAUGUGCCCAGAUGGGAUUAGCUUGUUGGUGGGGUAACGGCUCACCAAGGCGACGAUCCCUAGCUGGUCUGAGAGGAUGACCAGCCACACUGGAACUGAGACACGGUCCAGACUCCUACGGGAGGCAGCAGUGGGGAAUAUUGCACAAUGGGCGCAAGCCUGAUGCAGCCAUGCCGCGUGUAUGAAGAAGGCCUUCGGGUUGUAAAGUACUUUCAGCGGGGAGGAAGGGAGUAAAGUUAAUACCUUUGCUCAUUGACGUUACCCGCAGAAGAAGCACCGGCUAACUCCGUGCCAGCAGCCGCGGUAAUACGGAGGGUGCAAGCGUUAAUCGGAAUUACUGGGCGUAAAGCGCACGCAGGCGGUUUGUUAAGUCAGAUGUGAAAUCCCCGGGCUCAACCUGGGAACUGCAUCUGAUACUGGCAAGCUUGAGUCUCGUAGAGGGGGGUAGAAUUCCAGGUGUAGCGGUGAAAUGCGUAGAGAUCUGGAGGAAUACCGGUGGCGAAGGCGGCCCCCUGGACGAAGACUGACGCUCAGGUGCGAAAGCGUGGGGAGCAAACAGGAUUAGAUACCCUGGUAGUCCACGCCGUAAACGAUGUCGACUUGGAGGUUGUGCCCUUGAGGCGUGGCUUCCGGAGCUAACGCGUUAAGUCGACCGCCUGGGGAGUACGGCCGCAAGGUUAAAACUCAAAUGAAUUGACGGGGGCCCGCACAAGCGGUGGAGCAUGUGGUUUAAUUCGAUGCAACGCGAAGAACCUUACCUGGUCUUGACAUCCACGGAAGUUUUCAGAGAUGAGAAUGUGCCUUCGGGAACCGUGAGACAGGUGCUGCAUGGCUGUCGUCAGCUCGUGUUGUGAAAUGUUGGGUUAAGUCCCGCAACGAGCGCAACCCUUAUCCUUUGUUGCCAGCGGUCCGGCCGGGAACUCAAAGGAGACUGCCAGUGAUAAACUGGAGGAAGGUGGGGAUGACGUCAAGUCAUCAUGGCCCUUACGACCAGGGCUACACACGUGCUACAAUGGCGCAUACAAAGAGAAGCGACCUCGCGAGAGCAAGCGGACCUCAUAAAGUGCGUCGUAGUCCGGAUUGGAGUCUGCAACUCGACUCCAUGAAGUCGGAAUCGCUAGUAAUCGUGGAUCAGAAUGCCACGGUGAAUACGUUCCCGGGCCUUGUACACACCGCCCGUCACACCAUGGGAGUGGGUUGCAAAAGAAGUAGGUAGCUUAACCUUCGGGAGGGCGCUUACCACUUUGUGAUUCAUGACUGGGGUG